rnacentral:rRNA from 1 species
UACGAAGGGGGCUAGCGUUGCCCGGAAUCACUGGGCGUAAAGCGCACGUAGGCGGAUUGCUAAGUCAGGGGUGAAAUCCUGGAGCUCAACUCCAGAACUGCCUUUGAUACUGGCGAUCUUGAGUCCGGGAGAGGUGAGUGGAACUGCGAGUGUAGAGGUGAAAUUCGUAGAUAUUCGCAAGAACACCAGUGGCGAAGGCGGCUCACUGGCCCGGUACUGACGCUGAGGUGCGAAAGCGUGGGGAGCAAACAGGG